rnacentral:rRNA from 1 species
CCUACGGGAGGCAGCAGUGAGGAAUAUUGGUCAAUGGGCGGAAGCCUGAACCAGCCAAGUAGCGUGCGGGAUGAAGGCCCUACGGGUCGUCAACCGCUUUUGCACGGGGAUAACACCCUCCACUUGUGGAGGUCUGCAGGUACCGUGCGACUAAGGGCCGGCUAAUUCCGUGCCAGCAUCCGCGGUAACACGGAAGGCCCGAGCGUUAUCCGGGUUCCUUGGGCUUAAAGGGAGCGUAGGCGGGCGUUCAAGUCAGCUGUAAAAUCGCGGGGCUCAACCGCGCCCCGCAGUUGAAACUGGACGCCUUGAGUUCACAACAGGCAGGCGGAAUUCGUGGUGGAGCAGUGAAAUGCA